UACGUAGGGUGCAAGCGUUGUCCGGAAUUAUUGGGCGUAAAGAGCUCGUAGGCGGUCUGUCGCGUCGGCUGUGAAAACUCGGGGCUCAACCCCGAGCCUGCAGUCGAUACGGGCAGACUAGAGUGCUGUAGGGGAGACUGGAAUUCCUGGUGUAGCGGUGAAAUGCGUAGAUAUCUGGAGGAACACCGGUGGCGAAGGCGGCAUCCUGGACCGAGACUGACGCUGAGGAGCGAAAGCCAGGGGAGCAAACGGG
rnacentral:rRNA from 1 species